ACUGAAGGCACUUUAUUUAUAACUAGUUAAACAUACGACAUUAUGUCGAUAGCAUCAUAGGUACAAGUUUAUAGCAAAACUAGGUAAAUAAACUUAUUACAUAGCUAGCCAUUUUCAGUUUCUUCUAACUUAAAAGACAGUUCUACUAAUUGAGGACUCCGAUACAACGGAGCCCUCUGCCCGGCCAACAGUUGCUGCAUAACUAGCAUUACUUUGGAGUUGUUGUUACCAUCUAACCUCGACGAAUGAGUCCCCUCAAGUCCUCGUUCUCCUUGUUCAAGAAAUCGAGACGUGAUUGAAGAAUGUUGAUCAUAGCUUGAGCUCUCAUCACUUCAAUCUUCGCAGUCUCCCUUUCCAUGGAGACGUUUAGUAUCUGGUUCUCUAAAUUGCUAAUGAACUUCAAGUAACCUGGAGGAACAGAUUUUUCAAGAUUGGAAGAGUCAAAAUUAAAGGAGUUAGUAGGUGGAGCUUCUUUUGGUUCAUCUAACAAGGGAAAUGUUAAGAGAGUAGGGGAGUAAGUUGUCGCCAUCGUCUUUGUUGGUGGAUCCUGUUGGCUAGUGGUUGAAUCUUCAGAACCAUUUGCAUGGCUAGAGCUAGGAUCAUCAUGCUUGGAUCUUUUGCUUUGAGAUAAAGAGAGUAGUUCGAGAUCCUCUGACCUUUCCCUCUUGCAAACAAACGAAAGAGCUCGAGGCUCAAACAGGUUCUCACUUACGCAAGGAGCCUUACCACGCACAUCCUGCUUUGGACAUCCAACCGUUAGCGACAAGGAAAGAAUUACCUGGUCAAACUCAUUUCCCUCGACUCGUGCUUGAUUACCAUUGGCCACGUCAUUCUCUGUCACUCCUCCGGCAACCAGAGGGGCUGUGUCGUCAUCCCAUUCCUCCUCAAUAAAUGGUGCGUAUCUGUCGCCAUUAGGAGGCCCUAAUCCACUUUUCUGGAAGAUCCGACAGAGUACAAAGGCAUCCUGCACAACUCCAGCUGCAUCCAAUUCUUUAUCGUCAAGUCUGUACUCAUGCAUUACCCAGUUAGUUCUCUCUCCAUCAGGAGCUCGACCCUUAUGGAAAACAAGCGUUUUCUUCAUUCCAAUGAUUUUAGAAUUGUGGUUCACAUUACGAUCCUUUCCAGUAGCUUUCCAGUAGCCCUCUCCAGUGGCUCUAUUAAGUCUAGAUCCAUUCCCAUACUUCCUAUCUACAGGGCUGAAAAAAUACCACUCUAAAUCUCUGGUCUUCAGAGCUGAAUAAUCUUUAAGGUCCCAAGGCUCAGAUUUGUAAACAUCAAUUUCAGCAACAGCCUCAACUCGAAAUGGUUUUCCACAAGCCUUCCUCCUCAAAUAGUACCUCACCAAUUCCUCAUCAGUUGGAUGAAACCGAAAACCUGGUGGCAGUGAAGCCCCUCCCAUUAUCUCUGGUCUACCUAGUUCUCGUUCUAGUUCUUGUUCUCUCUAAGGCUAAAAUGUGAAAGAAACAGAACAAUAACAGGGGAAACAGAACCAAAACAAAGCAGAUAAAUGAAGGUUUGUUGCUAAGUACCCAGGCUGUACCUAUUAAAGAUCUGAAAAAUCCAAAAAUAGAAGUUUUUAUCUACACUAGAUUUUUUGCCAAGAAUCAGGUACAACUUCCACAGACUGCACCCAUUGUACAGCAUAACCAUUUUCCUUAAAACUUGAACUUCUUAUGAUCAGAAUACUUUGCCCCCCACCAACCCCCUCCAAAAUUUAGUCACAAAUUAAAGACUGAAAAGAAGGAAAGAAAAAAACUUGAUUUAAGGCGAUACCCAGUAGCCAAGAUUAUCUAUAUUAUCUAACUCAACAAGAAAAACUUCUAAAACUGAAACCUAUUGCAAAACCCAGAAGCUAAAACCAUUCAAAAUCACUCAAACACUGACAAUUUUGAAUGGAUAGGACUCUUUUGCUGGCUUGAGAGAGAAGAUCUUUCAAAAUCUCUCAAAGUAAUGUGUUGACGAGGAAAGAAGGAGAAAGUAAGUAGAGUAAAAAUUAGAGGAGCAUAGAGUGUAUUAUAUACACAAAGGAUUAGGAGAGGCCAAGAGAACAAAAUUUUGCAACGCCAAAAGAGCAGAGAUUGC
rnacentral:misc_RNA from 1 species